GCAAGUUUUAAAGACAAAAAUCCAGAAGGGGAAACAAAUAGAGCUGGUGGAGUGGGAACCAUGUUCCAUGUGUGGGAAGACGUGGCCUCCACAGUGGGUGGCAAAGGAGAAUACAAAGAACUAAAACAGCUACCUUCAGUAUUCUGUGGGCUGCUGUCCUUUUCCUUUUUUUAUAAUAUUUUGUUAAUUUAUUAUCCA